rnacentral:rRNA from 1 species
AACCUGGUUGAUCCUGCCAGUAGUCAUACGCUUGUCUCAAAGAUUAAGCCAUGCAUGUCUAAGUAUAAGUAUUAUACAGCGAAACUGCGAAUGGCUCAUUAAAACAGUUAUGGUUUAUUUGAUAAUCGAAUUUUACAUGGAUAACCGUGGUAAUUCUAGAGCUAAUACAUGCUGGUGUGCCUGACUUUUCGGAAGGGCGGUAUUUAUUAGAUAACGAACCAAUAUUCCUCUGGUCUAUUGUGGUGAAUCAUAAUAACUGAUCGAAUCGCAAAGCCUUUGGCUGCGAUAUGUCAUUCAAGUUUCUGCCCCAUCAGCUUUCGAUGGUAGUGUAUUGGACUACCAUGGCUUUUACGGGUAACGGAGAAUUAGGGUUCGAUUCCGGAGAGGGAGCCUGAGAAACGGCUACCACAUCUAAGGAAGGCAGCAGGCGCGUAAAUUACCCAAUCCUGACUCAGGGAGGUGGUGACAAGAAAUAACGGACCGGCCCUUUAGGCUCGGGAUUGCAAUGAGCCGAAUUUACACCCCUUAGCGAGGACCCAUUGGAGGGCAAGUCUGGUGCCGGCAGCCGCGGUAAUUCCAGCUCCAAUAGCGUAUAUUAAAGUUGUUGCAGUUAAAAAGCUCGUAGUUGGAUUUCUGGGGAGGUGCCAAUGUCACCUUAGUGUUGCGCAGCGGCGCCUCUCCAUCCUUCUGUUAACGUCGUUGGACCUUAAUCAGUCUGCGGCGGGCUCAGAUAUUUUACCUUGAGAAAAUUAGAGUGUUUCAGGCAGGCCAGGCCGGAAUACAUUAGCAUGGAAUAAUGG